UGUACGUGAAUAGGGGAUUUUUUUUUCCCUUUUACAAAGGUAAUUUUACCUAUCUAGAUAUGCUUUUCGAUUUCAGUCGAUGGAACAGAGAUGCGACUUGAGAGAGAGAGAGAGAGAGAGAGAGAGAGAGGGCUGGUUCUUUGAUUUCCAUCGAUUUUUGGUGAUUUUGAUCUAGAAAAUCUUGUUCUCCCUCCUGACCUGAGCGUAUAUCUUCGAGAUUGUUCGAAUCCUUCUGAUCUAAAUCGAUCUAGGGCUCAAGCUUGCUAGGUAUUCAACUUAAGUAUUUGAGUCACUGUAGUGCAAGGAGGAGUUCUUCAGUGCCCAUUGGGACACCAAGAAAAAGCCCAAAGAUCUGUGAUUGCUCAUGGAAUCAAUGUCGGAGAUGUGAAGAAGCUUGAAGAUGCUGGGAUCUACACUUGCAAUGGCUUGAUGAUGCACACGAAGAAGGUACAUUGAUUUUCAAUUUCGAU